rnacentral:rRNA from 1 species
CCUACGGGAGGCAGCAGUAAGGAAUAUUGGUCAAUGGACGCAAGUCUGAACCAGCCAUGCCGCGUGAAGGAUUAAGGUCCUCUGGAUUGUAAACUUCUUUUAUUUGGGACGAAAAAGGGCCUUUCUAGGUCAACUGACGGUACCAGAUGAAUAAGCACCGGCUAACUCCGUGCCAGCAGCCGCGGUAAUACGGAGGGUGCAAGCGUUAUCCGGAUUCACUGGGUUUAAAGGGUGCGUAGGCGGGUAGGUAAGUCAGUGGUGAAAUCCUGGAGCUCAACUCCAGAACUGCCAUUGAUACUAUUUAUCUUGAAUAUUGUGGAGGUAAGCGGAAUAUGUCAUGUAGCGGUGAAAUGCUUAGAUAUGACAUAGAACACCUAUUGCGAAGGCAGCUUACUACGCAUAUAUUGACGCUGAGGCACGAAAGCGUGGGGAUCAAACAGGAUUAGAUACCCUGGUAGUCCACGCCCUAAACUAUGAUUACUCGACAUUUGUGAUACACAAUAAGUGUCUGAGCGAAAGCAUUAAGUAAUCCACCUGGAAGUACGUCCGCAAGGAUGAACUCAAGGAAUUGACGG